rnacentral:tRNA from 1 species
UUGGCGCUGGCAGCCGGCGGCGUUUCGUUGCCGUUUGGAACGGCAAAAGCGGAAGGCGGUCCCGUUCAAAGCGGAGCUGCCGAU